UGAGGAAUAUUGCGCAAUGGGCGAAAGCCUGACGCAGCGACGCCGCGUGGAGGACGAAGGUCUUCGGAUCGUAAACUCCUGUCAAGAGGGACGAAUCCCGGGCGGAUGAAUAAGACGACCGGUCGACGGUACCUCUGGAGGAAGCCCCGGCUAACUCCGUGCCAGCAGCCGCGGUAAUACGGAGGGGGCCAGCGUUGUUCGGAAUCAUUGGGCGUAAAGGGCGCGUAGGUGGCCGCGCAAGUCGGAGGUGAAAUCCCUCGGCCCAACCGAGGAACUGCCUCUGAAACUGCGUGGCUCGAGUCCCGGAGAGGGUAGUGGAAUUCCCAGUGUAGCGGUGAAAUGCGUAGAUAUUGGGAGGAACACCGGUGGCGAAGGCGGCUACCUGGACGGGUACUGACGCUGAGGCGCGAAAGCGUGGGGAGCAAACAGG
rnacentral:rRNA from 1 species